rnacentral:rRNA from 1 species
CUACGGGAGGCUGCAGUGAGGAAUAUUGCACAAUGCGGGGAACCCUGAUGCAGCAACGCCGCGUGGAGGAUGACGCAUUUCGGUGUGUAAACUCCUUUUAUAUGUCAAGAAAAUGACGGUAGCAUAUGAAUAAGCACCGGCUAACUCCGUGCCAGCAGCCGCGGUAAUACGGAGGGUGCAAGCGUUACUCGGAAUCACUGGGCGUAAAGGACGCGUAGGCGGGUUGGAAAGUCAGGUGUGAAAUCCUACAGCUUAACUGUAGAACUGCACUUGAAACUUCUAAUCUAGAGUAUGGGAGGGGGAGAUGGAAUUAGUGGUGUAUGGGUAAAAUCCGUAGAUAUCACUAGGAAUACCUAAAGCGAAGGCGAUCUCCUGGAACAUUACUGACGCUAAGGCGUGAAAGCGUGGGGAGCAAACAGGAUUAGAUACCCGAGUAGUC